UACAGAGGUCCCAAGCGUUGUUCGGAUUCACUGGGCGUAAAGGGUGCGUAGGUGGUGAGGUAAGUCGGAUGUGAAAGCUCGGAGCUCAACUCCGAAAUGGCAUUGGAAACUACCUUGCUCGAGGGUUGGAGGGGGGACUGGAAUACUGGUGUAGCAGUGAAAUGCGUAGAUAUCAAGUGGAACACCAGUGGCGAAGGCGAGUCCCUGGACAACUCCUGACACUGAGGCACGAAAGCUAGGGGAG
rnacentral:rRNA from 1 species